CAGUCUUAUGUUUGACACUCCGAAGUCUGCGAAUUUGAUAAUUCUAUUACAUGUAGCGUGGCUAGGUGUUUCCAUUGUAACGCAUUUUCUUUCACUUUUAAACACCUACAUUUUUAUAUAAUUAUGGUAACGGGGUUUUCGACGGCUUCAAUGUCAUUUUCUUUAUAAGUUAAAUGAAGUAUUUGCCGUUUAAACUGUUAAAAGUUAGCUUAUGAAUUAAAAAUAGUCAAUGCUCAAAUCACAUGAUUUCAAGAUGAAAUCUAUAAAUUCUGCUUAAUUUUGUUUGGUUGAUAAACAUAAUAACGUUGGUGCGUCUGUGGCGGCAUUGUAACGCAACAAUGUCUUGUGGCGUUUCUGAGGUCAUUUAUUCAUUAUUUCGGCGGUAUCAAUUAAGAGAAUCCACAAAAAUAAAUAAACAAACUCAUUUUGGUUAUCGUAAAUUCUUACGUUUGCUUCUGGUUGGACAUGCGCACAUUCAUACUUUACGACUUACUAGACUGUGUGUGUGUAUGUGUUUGUUUAAUUUUUUUUUUGUCUUUCUUUUUGACAAAAUGUAUCAAUUUAUUGCAUUCGAACAGUGAGUAAAUGAUUUUAAGUUCAUGAUAAAAUGUGAUGAUUUCAGGUAUGUCGGUUCAUAAAGACGCCUGAUGUCGGGACGGUGAAGGCACGUCUACAAGAUAAUGUGGUGUAAAACAGAUGGUAAACGUUAUUUCCGGACACAGAUGCGACUUGCAAGGGUCAAAAUCUUUAUAUUAUGAUCUCUAUGUGCAUGCGAAUAUCUUCAGCCGACUUGUAAAAUGUCCAAACAGCUCCAACUGCUACCUAAGAUGAUAACACGGACGAUAAAGGAAUGAAGGGUCGAAGAGAAAUAUACGUCUCCUUGCGGUAAACAGAAUACAGCACGGCAUUUUGCUUCAUAUACGUGUUAUUCAAAAGACAACAACAGUUUAAAGCCAAAGGAACCCAAUCUAACAAAUUGUGUCAGUCUUUGGACAUUGGAAAUUCUCCCCUUUGCUGAUGAAAUACCAUCUAUCAUUUAAUGGAUAUUUAACUAGAACAGAACGGAACAGAACAGAACAGAACGGACCAGAACAGAACUCUCAGUCAGCAUUUACAUCUCUGUAAACGGCAUCGAUAUUGCCAUUUAAUUUAUCAUAUAUUUAUCGAUUUAUAACUGGUAUUCUGCGGACUCCGUAAUUGAUACAUUGCCAUUUUCUUGACAAAAUAUUGAUAAAUCAGUUGAUAGACCGAUACCGAAGUUGGAUUUUGCUGUUAUCCGAAUUCAGAAAGCAGCAUAAUACAAUAAGUACAAUGAUUAUCAAGAUUUAUAAAAAAUGUUUCACCUAGAGUUAUUUUGACAUAGGAAAUUCUACACGUCUGACAAACCGGAAGUAAAGGCAUGACGUCAUUUAACCGGAAAUAUAACACAAA